rnacentral:rRNA from 1 species
UACAGAGGUCCCGAGCGUUGUUCGGAUUCAUUGGGCGUAAAGGGUGUGUAGGAGGUUGGGUAAGUCAGGCGUGAAAUCUCACCGCUUAACGGUGAAACUGCGCUUGAUACUGCUUGACUAGAGGAUCGGAGGGGGAAGCGGAAUUCUUGGUGUAGCAGUGAAAUGCGUAGAUAUCAAGAGGAACACCGGUGGCGUAGGCGGCUUCCUGGAAGAUUCCUGACUCUGAAACACGAAAGCUAGGGGAGCAAACGGG